rnacentral:rRNA from 1 species
GGGGAAUUUUCCGCAAUGGGGCAACCCUGACGGAGCAACGCCGCGUGGGGGAGGAAGGUCUGUGGAUUGUAAACUCCUUUUCUCAGGGAAGAAGAACUGACGGUACCUGAGGAAUCAGCAUCGGCUAACUUCGUGCCAGCAGCCGCGGUAAGACGGAGGAUGCAAGCGUUAUCCGGAAUUAUUGGGCGUAAAGCGUCCGUAGGCGGUUUAUCAAGUCUGUCGUUAAAGACUGCAGCUUAACUGUGGGCGAGCGAUGGAAACUGAUGAACUGGAGUGCGGUAGGGGUAGAGGGAAUCCCCAGUGUAGCGGUGAAAUGCGCAGAUAUUGGGAAGAACACCAGUGGCGAAGGCGCUCUACUGGGCCGCAACUGACGCUGAGGGACGAAAGCUAGGGGAGCGAAAGGGAUUAGAUACCCCUGUAGUCCUAGCUGUAAACGAUGGAUACUAGGUGUUGGGCGUAUCGACCCGUUCAGUACCGAAGUCAACGCGAUAAGUAUCCCGCCUGGGGAGUACGCACGCAAGUGUGAAACUCAAAGGAAUUGACGGGGGCCCGCACAAGCGGUGGAGUAUGUGGUUUAAUUCGAUGCAACGCGAAGAACCUUACCAGGGCUUGACAUCCCUCGAAUCUUGAUGAAAGUCGAGAGUGCCUUCGGGAGCGAGGAGACAGGUGGUGCAUGGCUGUCGUCAGCUCGUGUCGUGAGAUGUUGGGUUAAGUCCCGCAACGAGCGCAACCCACGUCCUUAGUUGCCAUCAUUCAGUUGGGCACUCUGGGGAGACUGCCGGGGACAACUCGGAGGAAGGUGUGGAUGACGUCAAGUCAUCAUGCCCCUUACGUUCUGGGCUACACACGUACUACAAUGCUUUGGACAAAGGGCAGCCAACUAGCGAUAGUGAGCUAAUCCCAUAAACCGAGGCACAGUUCAGAUUGCAGGCUGCAACUCGCCUGCAUGAAGGAGGAAUCGCUAGUAAUUGCAGGUC